rnacentral:rRNA from 1 species
UCAUUGAUGAAAGGAAUCGCAAGAUUCCGAUUAUCCAACUUCACUUGUGCACUGUCAUUUUUUAAAUGCUAUGUAUGAAUGGUAUUAUUUAAACAAUAGUACAACUUUCAGCAACGGAUCUCUUGGCUCCCAUAUCGAUGAAGAACGCAGCGAAAUGCGAUAACUAACGUGAAUCGCAGAACUUUGUGAAUCGUCGAGUCUUUGAACGCACCUUGCGCUCUCUGGUAUUCCGGAGAGCACAUCUGUUUGAGUGUCAUUUUAACUCUCAACUCAUUGAUUUUUUAUAAUUGAUGAGAUUGGACAUUGGGUGAUGCGUUUUCGAAUGCUCAUCUGAAAUGAACAAUCAACCUGUUGUGUUGCACUUUUGUUAUAGUUUUUCUCUCAAAAGAGUGAUGUGACGAAGGGCUGACUUUGGAUUUCGAUCCACUUUUGAUUCAAGACCUCAAAUCAGAUGGGAUUACCCGCUGAACUUAAGCAUAUCAAUAAGCGGAGGAAAAGAAACUAACAAGGAUUCCCUUAGUAACGGCGAGUGAAGUGGGAAAAGCUCAAAUUUGUAAUCUGGCCGUUUUGCGGCCCGAGUUGUAAUUUCAAGAAGUGUUUUCUGCGCAUGGCCACCUGUGAAUUUGUUGGAAUACAAUGACAUUGUGGGUGAGAUCCCCGGCUACUUGUGGAGUCUUGUGCUUUAUGAUACACUUUCGAAGAGUCGAGUUGUUUGGGAAUGCAGCUCUAAUUGGGUGGUAAAUUCCAUCUAAAGCUAAAUAUUGAUGGGAGACCGAUAGCAAACAAGUACCGUGAGGGAAAGAUGAAAAGCACUUUGGAAAGAGAGUUAAAAGUACGUGAAAUUGCUGAAAGGGAAACGCUUGAAGUCAGACUCGACUUGCUGACGACCAAUGCCAUUUAUGGUAUGCACCGGUCAGUAAACGGGCCAACAUCGAUUAAUUUUGGUAAAAAAGGUCAUUGGAAAUGUGACAGCUACGGCUGAGUUAUAGUCCUUUGCUGGAUUUAUCAAUUUUGAUCGAGGACAGCAGUGUGUUUUGAGGU